rnacentral:tRNA from 1 species
UGUUUGGCUUUGCACCCAGACCCCGGGGCCCCAGAACAUAGGCUUGGUCUAAGAAACCACAGAAAUCCAUGGCCACCAGGGUCUUAACUCGGAACCCAGUGGUGAGCCUUGUGCUGGGUCUCCCACCGAGCUCUGCACAAGUGAAGCCCCAAGGAGACCCCGUGUCCCAGGAAGGAAGUGGGCAAGCGAGCCUGCUUCCUAACCAAAGAAGGAGUAAAAGUGCCGCUGCUUCUGGCACGGGCUCAGGGUGGCCCCGACCCUUGAACUUGUGUCCAGCAGCUUCUGUUUCCUUCCUUCCUUUGCUCUUGGCCCCUGCAGUGCUGGGAUUCGAACCCAGAGCCUGCUGCAUACUAGGCAAGCUCUCUCCACUGAGCCACAUCCCAGCCAGCCUGGCUGCUGAAGACCUUAUUAAAGAAGUCUUUGUUAUGCACUCCAUUUGCCAGGCACUGGACAGAACCCGUGGAGUCCGGACAGGUCCACACUCCAGGGAGCCGGACGCUCACAACCCCUGAACUCUUGUGUCUCUUAGAACCCAGUACCGUGAGGGUGCACAGCGGGCCCCAACACGCCAUCGAAUGGUUGUGGCCGCAAACUGAACCCACGAAUCAUGCACGGCCCAUGCCAACAGGGAGCUGCGGAGCAGCCACCCUGAACCCUGGCUCCAGCUGCCUCUGACAGUGGCUCGCGGGCACGGACUCCGCAGCAAGCUCCUACCUUGGAAAACCGCAAUCAGCCCACCGAUCAAUAAAAACCUUCAAGUAAGGUGGCCAGGCAGUCGGGGCCCUGUCCUGGGGUCUUGAGUGUCCUUGGGCUGGGGGAGGAAGCGGCAGGGUCCCUGGCACUGAGCUGAG